UCACUUUUCACUCUCACUCCAGAUCAAUUCUCCAUAUAGGUAAUGAAAUCGUUGCUACCCAUCUGCAUGGUAAAACUUUUUUUUUUUUGAACUGACUCUGCCUUGCAAAUCUUCCAAUGGAGCCCAUCUCCUUUUGUUAAUGAUAUACCUAAUUCUCUCUGUGGUAGCAGAAUCAGAGGACCUCCUCCAUAGGGGCUGUCAUGGAAGGUGAGAUUUAUCGAACUCUGUGUCACCCAGUGCUCCGAGGAAGGUGUGUUCAACAUUUGUAGCGGGUUGUGUAGGAAACAUGAGUAGUUGAAUGCUUGCUUGUAUUUUGUUGGUCACGCGAUGCGACCUUAGAGAGCAUCAAGGAGCCGCAAUCCUAGAAGGUCAGUGACUCUUUCUGGUUUUCUCGUGUUUUACAAGAAUAAAAUAAAACACACCAAUGUAUGUAUCUACGGAUCUUGAAAGAAUUGUUUUUCUUGUGAAACUAGAAGGAGCAUCUCGAGCGACAGUGGGAGCAGCAGCGCCCGCCUUCCCGGAGGCAUAGGUACUAGAAGCAAACUCGGGGCAAACUGGGGAUAACCCGGCCCCGGCCAGAAACAGGGCAAACCGAGGGGGCGAACGAUGAUGGAUGUGGUUCUUCAUGUACCAGUGUUUUAGUGUUUUGAUCUGCUCGUAUACUGACGAAGUGUCUAAUGUUUUUUUUUUUGAAUCUGUCUAAUGUUUGGUUAGCGUUCAGAGCAACCGACCUGUUUAAUGUUCUGUUCUGGUAUGUAUAAACGUACCCACGUGAAAAAAAGAUGCCCGUGAAGGUUCAGUUGGGCUCGGACUCGGAGAAAAACCAAACCGAGCUCCUCG
rnacentral:lncRNA from 1 species